rnacentral:rRNA from 1 species
CCUACGGGCGGCAGCAGUGAGGAAUAUUGGUCAAUGGGCGCAAGCCUGAACCAGCCAAGUAGCGUGAAGGAUGACGGCCCUACGGGUUGUAAACUGCUUUUAUAAGGGAAUAAAGUGAGGCACGUGUGCCUCUUUGUAUGUACUUUAUGAAUAAGGAUCGGCUAACUCCGUGCCAGCAGCCGCGGUAAUACGGAGGAUCCGAGCGUUAUCCGGAUUUAUUGGGUUUAAAGGGAGCGUAGAUGGGUUGUUAAGUCAGUUGUGAAAGGUUGCGGCUCAACCGUGACAUUGCAAUUGAAACUGGCAGCCUUGAGUACAGUUGAGGUAGGCGGAAUUCGUGGUGUAGCGGUGAAAUGCUUAGAUAUCACGAAGAACUCCGAUUGCGAAGGCAGCUUACUAAAGUGCAACUGACAUUGAUGCUCGAAAGUGUGGGUAUCAAACAGGAUUAGAUACCCGUGUAGUC